CAGGUAGUUGGCGGGGUAACGGCCCACCAAGCCAACGAUCAGUAACUGGUGUGAGAGCACGACCAGUCACACGGGCACUGAGACACGGGCCCGACUCCUACGGGAGGCAGCAGUAAGGAAUAUUGGUCAAUGGACGCAAGUCUGAACCAGCCAUGCCGCGUGGAGGAUGAAGGCCCUCUGGGUUGUAAACUUCUUUUAUCUGGGAAGAAACCACUCUUUUCUAAGGGUGUUGACGGUACCAGUUGAAUAAGCACCGGCUAACUCCGUGCCAGCAGCCGCGGUAAUACGGAGGGUGCAAGCGUUAUCCGGAUUCACUGGGUUUAAAGGGUGCGUAGGUGGGCAGGUAAGUCAGUGGUGAAAUCUCCGGGCUUAACCCGGAAACUGCCGUUGAUACUAUCUGUCUUGAAUGUAGUGGAGGUGAGCGGAAUAUGUCAUGUAGCGGUGAAAUGCUUAGAUAUGACAUAGAACACCCAUUGCGAAGGCAGCUCGCUACACUAUUAUUGACACUGAGGCACGAAAGCGUGGGGAUCAAACAGGAUUAGAUACCCUGGUAGUCCACGCCCUAAACGAUGGAUACUCGACAUCAGCGAUACACAGUUGGUGUCUGAGCGAAAGCAUUAAGUAUCCCACCUGGGAAGUACGAUCGCAAGAUUGAAACUCAA
rnacentral:rRNA from 1 species